rnacentral:tRNA from 1 species
AAUCCGUCGACUUUAGAAAUCGUGAGGGUUCAAGUCCU